rnacentral:rRNA from 1 species
UACGAAGGGGCUAGCGUUGCUCGGAAUGACUGGGCGUAAAGGGCGCGUAGGCGGGCGGUCAAGUCAGAGGUGAAAUCCCACGGCUCAACCGUGGAAGCGCCCCUGAUACUGAUCGUCUCGAGGGAGGUAGGGCGUGCGGAACGUUCCGGUGGAGCGGUGAAAUGCGUAGAUAUCGGAAGGAACACCGGUGGCGAAGGCGGCCUGCUGGGCAGUAGCUGACGCUGAGGCGCGACAGCGUGGGGAGCAAACAGG